CUUCAGCACCGCAGCUCGCGUCCCGGAUAGGAGCCAAGCCGGCUGGAGCUGGAGGACCCGGCGGGGGGGCAUCCCUGCGGGCGCCGCUGCUGCUGAACCAGCUGCAGGCUGCAGGGCAGAGGGGCUGGUUGUGAGUUCCAGCUUGAGGGGGGGGCAGCCGCUGUCGCGGAACCAGCUGCAUCCCUUGGCGGCGGCAGCGACGGCUCCGCCCCCACCUGCGGUGCAGGGGCGAUCCACACGCCGCAUGGGGGGAGGAGGAGGAGGCGAUUGUACCGUUUGCGCUGGUGGAAGCUAAGGGGCUGGACCCACCGCGGCUCCAGUGGGAAUAAUUGCUGACUGUAGAAGCGGAGCGGCUAAAGGCUUCAGUCCUUCAUGCGCAUGCACCGACACAGGUUAUGACAGAUGCAGGUUACGAUCGGUGGACAAAAGGAGGCAAUAAAACAAAGAGAAGGGAAAACGCCUCCCUACAACCGCGGUAAUUGGAUCCCUAAGACUAGUAGUGCGCACAAAGAACCCGGGAAGGAAAAGGGAUUGGUACUACUGAAGCAUCAAUCUGAAUCACGGGAAGAGGGUGAAUUCAUGCCAGCAGAAUCAAAGGACUCGUGAAGGAACCUGAGGAAUGGACUAUCACAUUUAAACCGGGUGAUACCGAACUGACUUCCCAAUAGGGACUGAGUGGUAAUAGUUUGGGAAAACCCAAAUGAUCUAAGAAAUGUAUAAAAAAUAACACCUAAUUAAGAAAUAAGGCAACGCUUAUAUCACUGGUUUCGAGCACUGCCUGAAUAAGACAUCUCCUUGGGGAGGAAUACUUCAGACAGAGGGGUCAAGACUGUUUUUGUAUUCUGACCUUAGCCUGUGAAUUGUACAGGGAAGAAGGGGAAUUACUAUUUCCAUCAGUACCAUACUGUAAACUUUAUUUGAUUCAUUCCAGUACUGGACAUGCUAGCUGGGUUAUAAGUAAAUGCUUGAAUUGUGGGAAUAAUUAGUAUUGUAGUUCACAAAAUUUAUUCUCUUAUUGCAAGAAGUGUUAAAGUAAUAACUUUGUUUUGUGGAUGGGAAUAUUAGUGCCUGUUGAAUGAGAGAUGCCUGAGGAACGGUGGGAAACCACAGUUAAGGGGUGUCAAAAAUAAUUUGCCUGGAAAUUAGUUAAGAGAAAGUGACAAGAAAAUAGAUGGCAAGACCAGAUUGGCAUCUGUAUUUCUCCACCAAGAAGAUCAAAUACACCUGCUGUGGGUUGCAACCUCGCAGGCAUGGGAGGUGGGAGUAUAAGCCAUACUGGACCUCUGUUAUUCCUGUUUCUGUCACUCAUUUGUUGUCUUUUCCCUUUCGGGAUACCAGCAAGAUCGUGUCACAAAUGCUACUGAAAGCAUCACAUAGAAAGAAACCAAAGUUCCUCUUUUAUUACACACACCCAUGUCAACAGCCACUGUUAUAACCCGUCCAAAUUAAGAACCUCUAGGCAAAAUGGAGAAAAUUAUUGGAUUACAAGAAACUUAGGAAAAAGUGGUAUUAGAUUUGGAAUUGAAUGUCCAAAAGGAGAGAGAUGGAUUUUUUUUACAUUUGAUCUUAAAGAUAUGGUUCAAGAUUCAGUAAAAAAACAAAUAGUAAACAAAAAGGUAAAACCAACAUAGCAAUUUAACUCUGUAUUAACCCCAAAUUAUAUGUUGAGUCGUAUAACAAGACUCCAAGCAGUUAUAGAAAUGAUAGCAAAUAAAGCCGCCCAGGCAUUAGAGUUAAUAUCAAGUCAGCUAAGCCAAACAAAAACUGUAGUGUAUCAGAAUGGGUUGGCUUUGGAAUAUUUAUUGGCCAAAGAAGGGGGUGUUUGUGGAAAGUUUAAUAUAUCAGAUUGUUGAAAAUUGAUGACCACAGAAAAGUCAUUCUAGAAACAAGCAAAAGGAAUCAAAGAAGAAAAAAAUAUACAUAUAAUAACCCAGGUACCAGUCCAAAAAUUAGAAAACAAUGCAAAAACCUAGCUGGGGAGAAUGUAUUAGAAGAAAUUAAGAUUUUUCAACUGUCUUGAUAUUUCUUCCUUGUGUAAUCCUCUGUUUUAUUUUGCCAGCAUAGUCCAGAAGAUGCAAGUAGACAAGAAAUAUUGCUCAAGCCAAAUGAUUUACAAAGAAUAAGAGUGGGGAUUAUGAAAAAUGGGUAUUUUAUGAUUGGCUUUUCACAAAUAUUAAAAUGAAUAUUAUAUGUGUUGUGUUAGAAAGUAAUGCUGUAUUAAUUCUCUUAAGUAGUGUGUUAAAUAUAGUUUUAGGUUAUAAAACAUGCUAACAUAGAAACUAUGCUAUGUAGGAUACUUUUUUUAAAGAAAGGACUUGCAGCGAGAUAGCAGCCACAGGACACCUAAAUCUUUCAGAGAAAAAGAAUUUAUUGCCCUCUUAUCAGAAGAAACGAACUUCUUCCUGCCUCAAAGGUGCUGUUAGGAUUCAGAGGAAGAAGUUGACGAUGACCAGACAGAAUCCUGUGUUUGAAUGGAAUUUAUGCAUCAUGUAUGAAGUGUAUGAAUAUGCAACAGGCUAUUGUUUUUAAGGGUUAAUCCUUUCUUAGCGGGUGUCCUUUUUCAGGCUUGUGCUGUCCAGAAAAAGGUACCCGGACAUCCGUAACUCUUUGUUUCUAUUGUCUCAUAUUGUCCUAAUUCAAAUUGUCUAAAUUUUUAUUACUCUAAUUGUAUUACUAUG